GACGAACGCUGGCGGCGUGCUUAACACAUGCAAGUCGAACGGAAAGGCCCUGCUUUUGUGGGGUGCUCGAGUGGCGAACGGGUGAGUAACACGUGAGUAACCUGCCCUUGACUUUGGGAUAACUUCAGGAAACUGGGGCUAAUACCGGAUAGGAGCUCCUGCUGCAUGGUGGGGGUUGGAAAGUUUCGGCGGUUGGGGAUGGACUCGCGGCUUAUCAGCUUGUUGGUGGGGUAGUGGCUUACCAAGGCUUUGACGGGUAGCCGGCCUGAGAGGGUGACCGGCCCCAUUGGGACUGGGAUACGGCCCAGACUCCUACGGGAGGCAGCAGUGGGGAAUAUUGCACAAUGGGCGGAAGCCUGAUGCAGCAACGCCGCGUGCGGGAUGACGGCCUUCGGGUUUUAAACCGCUUUCGCCUGUGACGAAGCGUGCGUGACGGUAAUGGGUAAAGAAGCACCGGCUAACUACGUG
rnacentral:rRNA from 1 species